GAUUAAGUUAUUAAGGGCGCACGGUGGAUGCCUUGGCACUAGAAGCCGAUGAAGGACGUUACUAACGACGAUAUGCUUUGGGGAGCUGUAAGUAAGCUUUGAUCCAGAGAUUUCCGAAUGGGGAAACCCAGCAUGAGUUAUGUCAUGUUAUCGAUAUGUGAAUACAUAGCAUAUCAGAAGGCACACCCGGAGAACUGAAACAUCUUAGUACCCGGAGGAAGAGAAAGAAAAUUCGAUUCCCUUAGUAGCGGCGAGCGAAACGGGAAGAGCCCAAACCAACAAGCUUGCUUGUUGGGGUUGUAGGACACUCUAUACGGAGUUACAAAGGACGACAUUAGACGAAUCAUCUGGAAAGAUGAAUCAAAGAAGGUAAUAAUCCUGUAGUCGAAAAUGUUGUCUCUCUUGAGUGGAUCCUGAGUACGACGGAGCACGUGAAAUUCCGUCGGAAUCUGGGAGGACCAUCUCCUAAGGCUAAAUACUCUCUAGUGACCGAUAGUGAACCAGUACCGUGAGGGAAAGGUGAAAAGCACCCCGGAAGGGGAGUGAAAUAGAACCUGAAACCGUGUGCUUACAAGUAGUCAGAGCCCGUUAAUGGGUGAUGGCGUGCCUUUUGUAGAAUGAACCGGCGAGUUACGAUUUGAUGCAAGGUUAAGCAGUAAAUGUGGAGCCGUAGCGAAAGCGAGUCUGAAUAGGGCGUUUAGUAUUUGGUCGUAGACCCGAAACCAGGUGAUCUACCCUUGGUCAGGUUGAAGUUCAGGUAACACUGAAUGGAGGACCGAACCGACUUACGUUGAAAAGUGAGCGGAUGAACUGAGGGUAGCGGAGAAAUUCCAAUCGAACCUGGAGAUAGCUGGUUCUCUCCGAAAUAGCUUUAGGGCUAGCCUCAAGUGAUGAUUAUUGGAGGUAGAGCACUGUUUGGACGAGGGGCCCUCUCGGGUUACCGAAUUCAGACAAACUCCGAAUGCCAAUUAAUUUAACUUGGGAGUCAGAACAUGGGUGAUAAGGUCCAUGUUCGAAAGGGAAACAGCCCAGACCACCAGCUAAGGUCCCAAAAUAUAUGUUAAGUGGAAAAGGAUGUGGCGUUGCCCAGACAACUAGGAUGUUGGCUUAGAAGCAGCCAUCAUUUAAAGAGUGCGUAAUAGCUCACUAGUCGAGUGACACUGCGCCGAAAAUGUACCGGGGCUAAACAUAUUACCGAAGCUGUGGAUUGUCCUUUGGACAAUGGUAGGAGAGCGUUCUAAGGGCGUUGAAGCAUGAUCGUAAGGACAUGUGGAGCGCUUAGAAGUGAGAAUGCCGGUGUGAGUAGCGAAAGACGGGUGAGAAUCCCGUCCACCGAUUGACUAAGGUUUCCAGAGGAAGGCUCGUCCGCUCUGGGUUAGUCGGGUCCUAAGCUGAGGCCGACAGGCGUAGGCGAUGGAUAACAGGUUGAUAUUCCUGUACCACCUAUAAUCGUUUUAAUCGAUGGGGGGACGCAGUAGGAUAGGCGAAGCGUGCGAUUGGAUUGCACGUCUAAGCAGUAAGGCUGAGUAUUAGGCAAAUCCGGUACUCGUUAAGGCUGAGCUGUGAUGGGGAGAAGACAUUGUGUCUUCGAGUCGUUGAUUUCACACUGCCGAGAAAAGCCUCUAGAUAGAAAAUAGGUGCCCGUACCGCAAACCGACACAGGUAGUCAAGAUGAGAAUUCUAAGGUGAGCGAGCGAACUCUCGUUAAGGAACUCGGCAAAAUGACCCCGUAACUUCGGGAGAAGGGGUGCUCUUUAGGGUUAACGCCCAGAAGAGCCGCAGUGAAUAGGCCCAAGCGACUGUUUAUCAAAAACACAGGUCUCUGCUAAACCGUAAGGUGAUGUAUAGGGGCUGACGCCUGCCCGGUGCUGGAAGGUUAAGAGGAGUGGUUAGCUUCUGCGAAGCUACGAAUCGAAGCCCCAGUAAACGGCGGCCGUAACUAUAACGGUCCUAAGGUAGCGAAAUUCCUUGUCGGGUAAGUUCCGACCCGCACGAAAGGCGUAACGAUUUGGGCACUGUCUCAACGAGAGACUCGGUGAAAUCAUAGUACCUGUGAAGAUGCAGGUUACCCGCGACAGGACGGAAAGACCCCGUGGAGCUUUACUGUAGCCUGAUAUUGAAAUUCGGCACAGCUUGUACAGGAUAGGUAGGAGCCUUUGAAACGUGAGCGCUAGCUUACGUGGAGGCGCUGGUGGGAUACUACCCUAGCUGUGUUGGCUUUCUAACCCGCACCACUUAUCGUGGUGGGAGACAGUGUCAGGCGGGCAGUUUGACUGGGGCGGUCGCCUCCUAAAAGGUAACGGAGGCGCUCAAAGGUUCCCUCAGAAUGGUUGGAAAUCAUUCAUAGAGUGUAAAGGCAUAAGGGAGCUUGACUGCGAGACCUACAAGUCGAGCAGGGUCGAAAGACGGACUUAGUGAUCCGGUGGUUCCGCAUGGAAGGGCCAUCGCUCAACGGAUAAAAGCUACCCCGGGGAUAACAGGCUUAUCUCCCCCAAGAGUUCACAUCGACGGGGAGGUUUGGCACCUCGAUGUCGGCUCAUCGCAUCCUGGGGCUGUAGUCGGUCCCAAGGGUUGGGCUGUUCGCCCAUUAAAGCGGUACGCGAGCUGGGUUCAGAACGUCGUGAGACAGUUCGGUCCCUAUCCGUCGUGGGCGUAGGAAAUUUGAGAGGAGCUGUCCUUAGUACGAGAGGACCGGGAUGGACAUACCUCUGGUGUACCAGUUGUCGUGCCAACGGCAUAGCUGGGUAGCUAUGUGUGGACGGGAUAAGUGCUGAAAGCAUCUAAGCAUGAAGCCCCCCUCAAGAUGAGAUUUCCCAACUUCGGUUAUAAGAUCCCUCAAAGAUGAUGAGGUUAAUAGGUUCGAGGUGGAAGCAUGGUGACAUGUGGAGCUGACGAAUACUAAUCGAUCGAAGACUUAAUCAA
rnacentral:rRNA from 1 species